rnacentral:rRNA from 1 species
GAGUUUGAUCUUGGCUCAGGAUGAACGCUGGCGGCGUGCCUAACACAUGCAAGUCGAACGGAGUUUAUGAGGAAGAAGCUUCGGCGGAAUUCUUAUAAACUUAGUGGCGGACGGGUGAGUAACACGUGGAGAACCUGCCUCUUACCGGGGGACGAGCAGUUGGAAACGAACUGAUAAUACCGCAUAAGCGCACGAGACCGCAUGGUCCUGUGUGAAAAGAUUUAUCGGUAAGAGAUGGCCCCGCGUCUGAUUAGCCAGUUGG